rnacentral:hammerhead_ribozyme from 1 species
AUGCAGCUGACGAGUCCCAAAUAGAACGAAAAGCGCGUCCUGGAU